GACGAACGCUGGCGGCGUGCCUAAUACAUGCAAGUAGAACGCACAGUUUAUACCGUAGCUUGCUACACCAUAGACUGUGAGUUGCGAACGGGUGAGUAACGCGUAGGUAACCUGCCUGGUAGCGGGGGAUAACUAUUGGAAACGAUAGCUAAUACCGCAUAAUAUUGAUUAUUGCAUGAUAAUUGAUUGAAAGAUGCUAUUGCAUCACUACCAGAUGGACCUGCGUUGUAUUAGCUAGUAGGUGAGGUAACGGCUCACCUAGGCGACGAUACAUAGCCGACCUGAGAGGCUGAUCGGCCACACUGGGCCUGAGACACGGCCCAGACUCCUACGGGAGGCAGCAGUAGGGAAUCUUCGGCAAUGGACGAAAGUCUGACCGAGCAACGCCGCGUGAGUGAAGAAGGUUUUCGGAUCGUAAAGCUCUGUUGUAAGAGAAGAACGGGUGUGAGAGUGGAAAGUUCACACUGUGACGGUAUCUUACCAGAAAGGGACGGCUAACUACGUG
rnacentral:rRNA from 1 species